AGAGCGAACGCUGGCGGCAGGCCUAACACAUGCAAGUCGAGCGCCCGUAGCAAUACGGGAGCGGCAGACGGGAUAGUAACACGUGGGAACGCGCCCUUCGGUUCGGAAUAACUCAGGGAAACUUGAGCUAAUACCGGAUACGCCCUUACGGGGAAAGAUUUAUUGCCGAAGGAACGGCCCGCGUCCGAUUAGCUAGUUGGUGAGGUAAUGGCUCACCAAGGCGACGAUCGGUAGCUGGUCUGAGAGGAUGACCAGCAUCACUGGGACUGAGACACGGCCCAGACUCCUACGGGAGGCAGCAGUGGGGAAUAUUGGACAAUGGGCGCAAGCCUGAUCCAGCCAUGCCGCGUGGAUGAUGAAGGCCUUAGGGUUGUAAAGUCCUUUUAACGGGGAAGAUAAUGACGGUACCCGUAGAAUAAGCCCCGGCUAACUUCGCGUCAGCAGCCGC
rnacentral:rRNA from 1 species